CUGGACAUGAAAUAUUUUGUCUGACAUUUUCUACCAGGAACACAUGAUAAAUUUUAGGACAAAAUUGGCGGUAAUAUUGGUCGAUUCGGAAUUGAACAAUGAUGACAUAAGAAAUCAAGAUUUGUCCCUUGAUGAGGAAGAUAACACGGAUCCCACCGAUUGUAUGAUUCUGGAUGAUCCACCUAAGAAAACAAAAUUAUCAAACUCAUCAUCA